AGUCACUGACCAUUAGAUACCCGCGUAGUCCCAGCCGUAAACAAUGUGCGUUAGGUGUGUCGGUAACCACGCGUUACUGAUGCGCCGAAGAGAAAUCGUGAAACGCACCACCUGGGAAGUACGGUCGCAAGGCUGAAACUUAAAGGAAUUGGCGGGGAGCACCACAACAGGUGGAGCCUGCGGUUUAAUUGGAUUCAACGCCGGACAUCUCACCGGAUAAGACAGCUGAAUGAUUGUCAAUCUGAAGGUUUUACAUGACUAGCUG
rnacentral:rRNA from 1 species